rnacentral:pre_miRNA from 1 species
CGUAUGCGGCAGCGUAGGAUUGAAUUGAGGGAGACAUUUACGAUUCUACCCCUUUUCACUUUAAUGCUGCUUUGGAG